ACCACAGGAAAAACCCCUUUUAUGUUAGCCUAUGGCAUUGAAGCAAUGGUCCAGGUGGAAAUUAGACUGCCAAGCCUUAGGAGGCUCGUGCCAGAAACCUCGGAGUAUACAACUGAACAUCUUGAUCUCUUGGAAGAAGUACGCGAGCAAGUCGCUAUAAAGGUGGCCUCUUACCAAACUAAGACAGCGAAACAUUUUAAUAGC
rnacentral:lncRNA from 1 species